AUAAAAAAUAAACAUGAAAUAAACUUAAGAAUAACUGCGAAAAUACCUAGUCAUUACAGUUAUUACAAUUUCUAAGUUCGAGAAUUUUUUACUGUUUCGGUUGAAUUUAGAUUUGAAAUUUAAAGAAAAUGUUAUAAAAAAAAGUUACUACUACACAGCUUUCAGAUGCAAAAAACUAUGUUCAUAUUCUUGUAUCAUAUGUUCUGGAAGUGGUUUUUCCCAAUCUUCUGGGGGAGAUGAACGUUUCUCCCAAACAUCAUUAGCAUAAUGAUUUCUUAAUCUUUCCAAAUGCCUAUUACAUUCACUUUUAAUUAAUUCCUUCUAAAACACAAUUAUCGCAAUCUCGUUUCCAUUGAGAACAAUCCAAUGUAGUCCCGAAAACAAAAUACUGGUGAAAACGAGCUUUAAUACUAGUACAAUCCGAAUAUUCAUCCGAAUAAAUAUCGCAAUCCCUUAUCUAAAAUUUGUCAAAUAGGGGUUAGGGGGUUCCCAACACCAAGAGUGAGGGACAUGCCCAAAUUAAAAGACAGCUCAGGAAAUUAAUCAACGCUCCCUUGUUAACACAAAAAGAAUGAAAAUUUGGAAAAGUAGGUAUUACAAUAAAUUUAUGUAGGGUACCUAACUGGUAAGUUCUUUUCUUUUUCAAAAUAGCCGUUCUUUAUCUGCUUUAUCAGAUUAAAUAAAAAAUAAAAAGAAAUAAACAUAUGCAUUAAAUAUGUACAAAUGUAAACACAAGAAAAAAUUCAUAAACAGAAUUAUACCUAAUUUUAUUUGUAAAAAAAUAAAUACACAUUUGCAUGUACAAUGAUAUUUUAACAUAUUAUAAUGAAGGAACUGUAUACAUAAGUACCUAUAAAAGGUACCUAUAGUUACUAACAUAUAGUAUAAAGUAAUAUUUAUGUAUUUUCAUAAUUAUCCCCAUCAUAAUUUUUAAAUUUCGUAAUUAAUAGUACAAUUGUAACAAUAAUUAUAACUAUAAGAAUGCAUUCGUAAAAUUUGACGCUAUAUAUAAAGUCUUUCCACGAUAUCUUUUCCAAUGUAUCGGUCUUAUGGUGGGAAAUCAGCUCCUUGCAGAUUGGUAAUUUCCUUAUUUUGUAUUGUUCCAUUUUUGCUGUCUUAACAAUUAAUAAUUGUUUCUUAAAAUUUGCUGCUAUUAUUUCAAAUUCUUCUGUAUUAUUUACAAAGCACAGGGGCACAGCUUUAAAAGCAAGCCGCACCGUAAUAACUAUUUUUUUAUUUUUUUGUAAAUUAUUCUCUUGCAAACUUAGGACUAUCGGAACAUAUAUAAAUAUAAACAAAUAAAUAAUUGUUUUUGAUAUGCAUUUGUUCCAUAAUUCCAUUGUGAAUCACUAUGUCGGAAAUUUUUAUUCAAUCCAAGCAACGUUACCAAUUCAAUUCUCUUUGCACAAUGGGAGAAUUUGCUGAUAACUCCCGAAUUUGUAUUUUUGGCGCAAACAAGUUGAGACCUGUCUGUCCACUGUGCAUGAUUGCCAGAUCUACGGAAAUUUCUCUAGACAGAAAAUUUAAAGCCAGCUUAGGAAAAAGGGAAUUUUUAUUCAACUCUAUACAUUUAAGAAAUUAUUAUCUCUAACAAUAUUUUAAGCAACAAAAGCAAAAAAGGAGUUUUAUUAAUGUUAAAUGUCAGGGAAUCAUAACAUAAAAAUCAAAUAUAUAAAAAUGUAUAAACAUCAAACGUCAGUGAAGAUUUCCAACUACAUAAAAGCAAAAGCACGAUUAUACAUAUUGCCUUAAACGGUUUCUGUGAUAUUCCGUACUCUCACUAAAAUACUGUAAAAAAUAUCAAUCUAAAUUUAUUAUUGAAUUAUUGGGAAAUAAUGUAAAAAAUAUAGGGAAUAAAAAAAAAUAUAUCUGGCAACCCUACUCAAGAUUUCUUUUCAUUCAAAAAUUUGAUCUGUUUGAAGCGUUUUUGUUUUGUAAGUGAUUUUUUUUAACAAUCAAUAGUUUGAUUUUAAAUCGAAUCCAAAGAAAUUGUCUUAAAUUUAUACAAGUAAUUUAUGAUUGAAAAAAAAAUAUUAUUCCAGGAUUGCCAUAAUAAUGCUAUAUAUUUAUAUUAAGCGUUUAAUAGGACUAUUUGUUAUGUCAAUAUACAUAUCAUAUUUCGAAGUUGCAGAAUACGUCCAAAUUUGAUUUUUAUAUUUUAUGACGAAUAUUGAUAGUAAAAAAAACUUCUCAUUCUUAUAGUUAUAACAAUUUUUGGUACAUAAAAAAUACGAAAUUUUAUUGCCAGUACAAUAUAAAAUUAAUUCUUCAAUAGGACAGAAUUGUUAGUAAAUAGAAAGAAUAUUGUAAAUGGAUAAAUACUGACUGAUAUGAAAUGCCUACACAUAAAG